rnacentral:lncRNA from 1 species
UUUUCUCUCUCUCUCUUUCUCUCUCUCUCACACACAGCUGGUAAUCAUGCCUACUAUUUCUCCAGGAAACACAGACCACUGCUCUCAUAAAUCCAACCAACACUCACCCAUUCUUCCUUUCCUCCCAUGUCAGAAGCCUACCCCUCCUCUCAGGCAAAGCUAACGCCUCUACUUUCACUUCUUGUCCUGUUUUUCUGGAAUCUGUGUCAUCUCUCUCAAUCUCUGUUUUCUACUCCUCCUUCUCCAAGAGCACCUUUCCCUUACCUGAAAACAUAGCUAAGCUUCCCCCACCAACCUUCCUUUCUUCCCAGUGGCAUUCCUUCCUCCACAGACAUUUGUGGAGCACCUACCAGGAACCCAACACUGCACCAGUGAAGAAUACUUUCGGGCAUGAGGCAGGCCUGGCUCCACAGAGCUUACAAUCUAGUGGAGGAGGAGAUGAUAAGUGAACGGUAAAUAUAACAUUACAAAUUUCCUAGGAAGGAAACAAAUAGGGUGCAGUGAGAGAAAAUAAAUGGGGGGUGGAGUGCCCAUCAAGUCAGGGUACCCAGGAAAGGGCUCUUCUAUCACUUCCAUGACUGGACUUCAGGCUAUCACCUUUAGCCUGGCUUCUAAGGAACCCUUAAACAAGUUCCCUGCUUACAAAUUCCACCUUUUGGUUCUUUUCAGAUGUUGCUACUGUAGUUGAGUUUCUAAAGCAGAUCAAAUCUUGUCGGUCCUCUACUGAAGCCUGCAGUGGUUUCUCAAUACCUGUAAGCCCUGAUGCUUGACCCCAACGUUUAAAAAUGCCUGAGUGGUUAAGAAGAGUCUGUGAGAUCAUGAUAUAAACAGACCAGUGCUGUGAGGAACGCUUUGUACUGACUUCCCUCUCCAGAGCUCCCGUGGCCUCAUUCGUUUUGCCAAUCUCUGUUUUAGUUGUUCUGUUGGAGCAGCCAUCCAAUGGAAAGCUAGAGCAGUGGCAUUCUCCUUCAUAAUCCCUGAGAGCUCCUAAGAAGAGGUUGAGCUAUGGAAUCUGCAAAGGGGAGAAGGAAGUGACUAAGACUUUGGAAAAAGGAAGGGUGACCCAGAGCAAAGAAAGAGGGCCUAGGAGAUGAGCAGCAGGAAAGAGUUGUUAGGGUGGGCUCCGGGACAGACACAGUACAGCCGCCUCUCUUAGCCUCCUACUUCAGGCUAUGGCAGGAGACCAGGUUUUAGCGUUCUUCCUUAAACUUCUAUUUGGAAAACUAGUCCAUUAAAACAAAAUAAAACUAAAUUUGUUGAAUUUCUCAUUUGGUCAAGUGAGUUUCUGGGAAUUGGCCAUUGCGUGGAUUUGCUUCAAGAGUCUAGGGGAAUUUGACAGUCGGCUUGUCUGACUGAUUCUGCCACAGGGAAGUGAGUUAUGUGGGUCAAGUUUAAUGCCAUGGGCAGAGGAGCUUCUACCCUGCUUCCUUUUUAGUGUUCGGGAAGAUAUUGUGUCAUCGGUUGCUUCGGCAUCAGCGUGUGGAUAGCAGAGGGUGGGCCUAAAUUUAGCUCUCCCAAGCUGCCCCAGAAAGGGAGUAUGGAACUCAGUUGAAGGCUUGACUGGGAGCUUGUUGGCAGCUCUCUUGAUGAAGCAGAUGAGGUAACCCGCCAGUGGUGGACCAGAGCUGGCUCACUGGGCAGAGAGCUCACUGUUGCAUUGUCAGAAAUUUCAAAUCAGUUGCUGAACACAGAAGUUAUUAAAAAUUAAAUUGUUCGACCUUACAAUUAAAUAGGUCCUAUUAAACAUAAAGGUAAUGCAAUAUUCAAAACGAUCACUCCAUAGUUAUUUUGCUGCAUCUUACUAUUAUCUUGCUCUUGAGAUUAUUUACUAUUUACUAUUACUAUUGUAUCUGUAUGGCAGGUCUCUCCCCAACUCCGCAUUCGUCGACAUCAUCUUAGUAGCUUGAUAUGCCAAGGUAUUUAAACUAUAGAAGUCUGCAAAUACUACCACUCAGGGCCCCUCCCACCCAAGACUAACUGCUAAUUGUUUUUGCAACACACCAUUGCCUGUGGUCCACACCGCAGGGUAGACUGCCUGCAAGAGAAACUAGAGCAGUCCCGCCGGACCUGUGCAUUGCCAAGAAGGCAGGACCAAGUCAACAAGAACGGAGAUGGUCCAUGAGUUACACCAGCUACAGGCUUUAGACUCAGACACCAGCAGAACACCCUGGAGUAGCACCAGUCCGCCUCAGUGAUCCCCAUGCAGGAAGCAGCCCAGACCAGCCAUGACGUGGCAGAGAUCAGCAAGCAUCCAGAGGACACCAAAGACCCCCAACCGCCCUCUGCCACCAUGGGAUCACCUAAGUUUCACCUUCAGAUGCCAUCUUGGAAAGAAAGAGGGGAAAAAGCAGAAAUCUGAAAAACUGAGCACUUUAUCCAACAGAGACAAAGAAUUUACCUAAAGGAAUGCUUUUCUUUAUAGAAUUGAAGGAAAUUCAUCUGGUGGGACUGAAAUUGUCCUUAGCCCCUAGGCUGGCCAACUUGGGCAGAGGUGAUGGAGGGAGGGUGCUCUUUGGUGAAGACAGACCAGUUAGAGAGGAAAGGAGCUAUGCUUUGUUGUUUUUGUACGUGUAAGAACAAUGUAUGUGAAUUCAUCCUUGCUGCCAUGGUGAUAUUGAGCUUUUAUUAAGCAGUAAGUACACUUGGUAUCAUCCAUAUGCAGAUGAAGAAAUGAAGGCUCAGAAAUGAAGGCUCAUGUAACUUACACAGCAUCACACAGCUAGGACACAGAAGGAGACAGGCCUUGAAAGCAAGGUUGGUAUGGCUACAGAGAUUGAGUCCUUCUGUCCUACUGUCUGUCAUCAGCCCUUGCUCUGGCCCUUCUGUCUGUGUACAUACUGCCUCAUGACUGGGGCAGACCAGGGAGGGGAGCUUCCUCAUGGGAAAGCAUCUGGAAUAGACAGCCUGGAAACCAAGGCAAGUCAGGAAAGUUAUUACUUGAGCAGCGGACCAUCAAGACUUUGGGGCCUAGGAUAAGAAAUGAAACAUUAUUGGAAAGGAAAUUGAGGUCUGGAGGUGAGUGCACCCAUCAUGAGGAAGGUAAGUGGGCUACAGAGCUGGCAGCUACCAGAGCUGGGGGGCAAGUAAUGAUGAAGGUAUGGAGCAGAGAGCCCGGGUGGAGCCAAAUCCAGAAACACUGACCAAUCAGUCCGUUCAUGCAGGCCCAGCUCAUCUGGCUGCCAGAGCAGUGGCCGCCUCAUGCAAGAUCCAAACCCAGCAUGCAACCAGCUUUUCUCCAAAGUGUGAUGAUUACUCAUGCACUCCCUCCCACUGCCCUGCAUGCCCCAGGAGUGCUUUCUCCAGCCGCCUCUUAUUUGUUUUGAAAAGUGAGUAUUUUUAUUAGUCUAUCAAAGUAAUUCAUGCAGAUAAUUUUAGAAAUGGACAUAAUACAGAAGGGCUUAUAAGAACAAGCAGCCGUCACCUGGCCCGCCCCCUCCCCCUUCCAAGUUCCAAUUCUCCACACUUUGCACUCGACCUCUGUAAACUUCCAGAUGCCUCAUGCCCUCCCCUAGCUCUCAUGGAACAGCACAAGCUGGAACCUGUCCCAAGAUUCCUCCCCUGGUUUUAUUAUCUCAGCAAGAGUGGGAGGAGCCAAACAUAAAGGCCCCGAGAUAUAGAGCUUUGGGGAAAACAAAUAGACGG